UGUGUUGGAGUUUGUUGACGUUCAAGGGAGAUAAUUUCAAAUAACACCUUCCGGUUCUUUCUGUUCGACCUUGUAACAACGGUCGUAGUCAUGCCGGGCGUUGAAAUGUUCACGAGGUUUUUAGGCCCUAGAUACUUUCAGAUGGCCAAAAAUUGGACCCCUACUUUAGGAGCCUUUGGUGCAACAGCGGCCAUUACAGGACUCUAUAUCUCUGACUGGAAGGCUGUUCUCAAGUAUGUCCCUUACUACGGUGACAAGUACCCGAAAGAGCCACCACAGUGAACAUGCAAAUUAGUGAAUAUGUGUGCCUGUUAUAGAAGAAAAUCCCACUUGCAGUUUGAAUGUAUGACAGACAGACGCUUGUCAUUUAUCCAUCAUUGGGCGCUGUAUAGAAUCAGUGGUUCAAUUGAAUCAAUAAAUAAUGUUGUAUUUCA